rnacentral:misc_RNA from 1 species
UUGAAUAACUUGGUGUUGAGCUGGCCCUAUUGGGCAUGUGCUCGCAUCAUAUUAUUUAUCUAUCUCUUGUGCACCUUUUGUAGUCUUUGUAGCACUCGCAGUCAAUGCGGUUUUGGGGCUUGGGCUUUGUCCUUUCCCCUGUUUGCUUCAAAGGCUAUGUUUUAUACACACUAUUGAAGUUACAGAAUGUCUCUUAUUGACUUUCGAGUCAGUAAAUCUAUA